CCUCAGCGAACAAAGGGCGAGGGCGGGCGGCGUGCGGGGGGAUAGCGGCCGCCUUGCAGGCCUAAAACAAGUCUGAAAGAGCCGGAUGGGAACAAAAAGGCACGAAAUAGAGCCCACGAAUGGUGUUUAAGCUCAGGGCUGGGAGAGGCAGAGCCUGCACACCACGUUAAAUGGGAGCGCUCCGGGCCGCCGAGCGGGAAAGGGCGGGAGAGGCCACAGGCCUUAAAAUGCGGCUCACGAGAGGCUGGCAAGCGAUAAAUGCCUUCAAAUCAUCAGUGAGGAGAGACUGCGGGAGCUGGGCCUGGUUAGUCUGGGAAGGGAACACUGAAGAGGGAUCUCAUUAAUGAAUAAAAAUAUCUCCGGGGGGUGUCAGAGGAUGGUGCCAGACGCCUCAGCGGUGCCCAGCGACAGGACGAGGAGCAAUGACUGGAAACUAAACCAGAAGUUCCGCCUCAACAUGAGGAAGAGCUUCUCUCCAUGAGGGCGGCAGGGAGGGCGUGGAGUCUCCUUUUCUGGAGCCAUCCAAACCCACUUCGACACUGUUCUAUUCCAUCUGUUCCAGGGGACUCUGCCUUGGCCAGGGUGAUCUCCAGAAGGCCCUUCCAGCCCUAACAAAUCUAUGAUUCUGUGAUCUUUCCCUCAGGAUCCUAACAAGUAGCAAUUCUGUGGCUUAGAACUUAUUUUUUCCCAGCUUUGCUUAUAAAGGUAGUCACAAAGCCAAAGUUUCUAGAGCAUUCUUUUCAUAUUUUCCUCACAGCAUCCAUUGCUGCUCUGGAAGGGUUGGCAUGAAAGAGAAAGUAGAAAAGAAAAAUUAAUAAGGAAGCAUAAAAAUUGCAAUUUCUGUCUUGCAGACAGGACCUCAUGUAAACCAGGCAGGAGAAAUGUUCCCAAAAUGGAAUAAUUUCCCACCAAAAUUCAUAUACUGAAACCUAAUUAAUGUUGAAAAGUCUGUGCUCUGCCAUGUCUUCAAAUCCAUGGAAUUUGGUGAGAAGUUUGAUUGAGCAGUUACACUGCCCUUAUGGGGGCAGGGAUCCUGAGCACUGGAGGUGGUUGGAGAGGUUGGAGAGGCUAUUCCAGCCUCAGAUAAGCAUUUUUAAUAGACUGACUCAAAACCCCACCUGAUAUUCCAGAAUCACAGCAUUUCCCAUUCCAUUACAUUGUGUCUGCCUUUGAAUCCUUUCAUGCCUUCAGAGUGCAUUCUGUGAACCCUGGAGAGAGCCAAGGAGACACUCACGUGAUUUUGAAUUAGUUUGAAGUUCUCUGUUUGGUCCCUAAAGCAAAGCAGAACUCUCAUUUCUCCUGACAUUGCACCAAAAUUAAAGGAAGCUUAUACAAUGUCUAAACUUCAGCUGUGCUUCAAUGCUGAGUCUAUUCAGAACUCUUUUUUUUUUACUAUUGUUUUAUUUUUUAAAAUCUUAUUCAGAGCUGUUCCAACCUGCUGUUAUUUGCCACUUCUUUAACAAUUGGAUGACAAUCAUCACUGCUACCUUCUGAAGAAGGACCCAGGUAGCAGAAUAUAAAGAUCAUUCAUUAGAGAAAAUAAAUAAGUAAAAGCAAAAGGAGCAGAAAUCCUCAGUGGGGCCAGGCAGAGCAAAAAGUAGGAGUAGCUCAGUCUCCUUAGUUACAUUCUGCAUUCUCACAGUUUCUUUCAGUUUCCCUAUUAUUAUGGAACAAAAGAGUUAUUUUAAACACUUCUGAGAACAUGGCAUAAAAUUAGCAAAACUGUGUUAGUCUGCAGAGAAUAUAAUUGACAAUGUUUUAAGGUGAGGGGAGCUGGUUCUGAGUCUUUGUGUCAGUUAGGAAAGUCCAUCCAGCUGAGUUCCUAACUGAUGCAGUCAUGGGAGAUGUUCCUGAAUUCCUUUCUUCUGGUGAGGAUCAGGAUGGGUUAUGUGUGAAA